GGGGAAUUAGCUCAGUUGGCUAGAGCGUCUCGAUGGCAUCGAUAAGGUCGGGGGUUCGACUCCCCCAUUCUCCA
rnacentral:tRNA from 1 species